rnacentral:rRNA from 1 species
UACGUAGGGAGCGAGCGUUGUCCGGAUUUAUUGGGCGUAAAGAGCGCGUAGGCGGUCCGGUAAGUCGGUUGUGAAAACUGGGGGCUCAACCCUCAGAGGCCGACCGAUACUGCCGGGCUAGAGUCCGGAAGAGGCGAGUGGAAUUCCUGGUGUAGCGGUGAAAUGCGCAGAUAUCAGGAGGAACACCAAUGGCGAAGGCAGCUCGCUGGGACGGUACUGACGCUGAGGCGCGAAAGCGUGGGGAGCAAACAGG